AACGAACGCUGGCGGCAUGCCUAACACAUGCAAGUCGAACGAGACCUUCGGGUCUAGUGGCGCACGGGUGCGUAACGCGUGGGAACCUGCCCUUAGGUUCGGAAUAACUCCCCGAAAGGGGUGCUAAUACCGGAUAAUGUCUCCGGACCAAAGAUUUAUCGCCUUUGGAUGGGCCCGAGUUGGAUUAGCUGGUUGGUAGGGUAAAAGCCUACCAAGGCGACGAUCCAUAGAUGGUCUGAGAGGAUGAUCAGCCACACUGGGACUGAGACACGGCCCCGACUCCUACGGGAGGCAGCAGUGGGGAAUAUUGGACAAUGGGCGAAAGCCUGAUCCAGCAAUGCCGCGUGAGUGAUGAAGGCCUUAGGGUUGUAAAGCUCUUUUACCCGGGAUGAUAAUGACAGUACCGGGAGAAUAAGCUCCGGCUAACUCCGUG
rnacentral:rRNA from 1 species